rnacentral:rRNA from 1 species
AACUGCAUUUGAUACUGGCAAACUAGAGUAUGGUAGAGGAAUGGGGAAUUUCUGGUGUAGCGGUGAAAUGCGUAGAGAUCAGAAGGAACACCAAUGGCGAAGGCAACAUUCUGGACCAAUACUGACACUGAGGGACGAAAGCGUGGGGAUCAAACAGGAUUAGAUACCCUGGUAGUCCACGCUGUAAACGAUGAGUACUAGCUGUUGGAUUCGGUGUAAAGGAUCUAGUGGCGUAGCUAACGCGUUAAGUACUCCGCCUGGGGACUACGGCCGCAAGGCUAAAACUCAAAGGAAUUGACGGGGACCCGCACAAGCGGUGGAGCAUGUGGUUUAAUUCGAUGCAACGCGAAGAACCUUACCUGGUCUUGACAUCCUGCGAACUUUCUAGAGAUAGAUUGGUGCCUUCGGGAACGCAGUGACAGGUGCUGCACGGCUGUCGUCAGCUCGUGUUGUGAAAUGUUGGGUUAAGUCCCGCAACGAGCGCAACCCCUAUUGAUAGUUACCAUCAUUAAGUUGGGUACUCUAUUGAGACUGCCGCUGACAAGGCGGAGGAAGGUGGGGACGACGUCAAGUCAUCAUGGCCCUUACGACCAGGGCUACACACGUGCUACAAUGGGUAUUACAGAGGGCAGCGAAGUAGCGAUAUGGAGCGAAACUCAGAAAGGUACUCUUAGUCCGGAUUGCAGUCUGCAACUCGACUGCAUGAAGUCGGAAUCGCUAGUAAUCGCAGGUCAGAAUACUGCGGUGAAUACGUUCCCGGGUCUUGUACACACCGCCCGUC